GUUGCUGCUAAAACCUUGCCUUUUUAUAAGGACUACUUCAAUGUUCCUUAUCCUCUACCUAAAAUUGAUCUCAUUGCUAUUGCAGACUUUGCAGCUGGUGCCAUGGAGAACUGGGGCCUUGUUACUUAUAGGUAUGUUAAUGAUGUAUUACCCUGCCUUAUCUUUUCAAAUCACUGAUUUCAAAAGGGCUUCCCUCCUAAUCACAGUUGAGUAGCUUCUGCUUUACGAUAUGGUGUAAAUUUUUGUACCUUCCCCCACUUCCAUGCACAUUUCAAGAAUGCAGAUGGACACCCCUCCCUUUGGUGCUACUGUCUGAGGGUGUAAGAUUUUAAAGUGAGCAUCUGGCGGUAGUAGCAUUUUUAGAUAUAUUCUUGGCUAAGUUUCUCAUUGCAGUGCCUUUCUUUCCUGCCAGU
rnacentral:sRNA from 1 species